rnacentral:rRNA from 1 species
GGGUAGAGUAAUGCGUGACCAACCUGCCCCAUGCUCCAGAAUAGCUCUUGGAAACGGGUGGUAAUGCUGGAUGCUCCAACUUGACGCAUGUCUUGUUGGGAAAGUGUUUAGUGGCAUGGGAUGGGGUCGCGUCCUAUCAGCUUGUAGGCGGGGUAAUGGCCCACCUAGGCUUCGACGGGUAGCCGGCCUGAGAGGGCGGACGGCCACAUUUGGACUGAGAUACGGCCCAGACUCCUACGGGAGGCAGCAGAC